rnacentral:sRNA from 1 species
UGGUGGAGUGUCACGACGUUGUGGGGU